AAUGCUUCCACAUCCUCACCAACACUUGUAAUUUUCUGUUGUUUUCUUUUAGAGUAACCAUCCUCAUGGGUAUGUUCACUCCAAUUUUGAUAAAAGAACAUUGACCUCUGAGUCACCAGAUUGUGAAGACUGGCUCCAGUUAAUGUUUUUAUGCGAAUGAACUCCACGGAGGUGGGGCCGGGUUUGACACUUGGGACAUUGACAAGUCAGUGAAGGGCAUCUCCGGAUCCUCAACCACCAGACUGUAUUUUCUUCGCAAAUCUGGCCAGCUUUGUCUUGUUUUGUCAGCUGUUGUUCUCACUCCUGCUGCUGCCAUUCCUCUCACGACAGAAACACCCUUGUUUCCUGCCUUCUGCAACUGCAAAAGAAAAUCGUCUAUCACAGAGAGAAGAAAAAAAAAAGCCUCCUCCGCUGGGGUUUCCAUGGCAAAGAGACGGCUGUGACUCUCAUCUCCUCAGCCCUACCUCCUUUUCUCUGCUGAAUCCAGCUCCAGUGCAGUACCUCCGUGUGAAGAAGCCAGGGACUGCAUGA
rnacentral:lncRNA from 1 species